rnacentral:rRNA from 1 species
GAUGAACGCUAGCGGCAGGCCUAAUACAUGCAAGUCGGACGGGAUUGAGAAGCUUGCUUUUCAUGAGAGUGGCGCACGGGUGCGUAACACGUAUGUAACCUACCUUAAUCAGGGGGAUAGCCUCUCGAAAGAGAGAUUAACACCGCAUAAAAUCAAUUUAUGGCAUCAUAGAAUGAUCAAAUAUUUAUAGGAUUAAGAUGGGCAUGCGGAACAUUAGCUAGUUGGUACGGUAACGGCUUACCAAGGCUACGAUGUUUAGGGGAUCUGAGAGGAUGAACCCCCACACUGGUACUGAGACACGGACCAAACUACUGCGGGAGGCAGAAGUAAGGAAUAUGAGUAAAUGGGCGGAAGCCUGAACCAGCCAUGCCGCGUGCAGGAAGACAACCCUACGGGUUGUAAACUGCUUUUGUACCGGAAUAAACCUUUGUAUGUAUACGAAGCUGAAUGUACGGUAAGAAUAAGGAUCGGCUAACCCCGUGCCAGCCGCCGCCAUAA